AGCGAACGCUGGCGGCAGGCUUAACACAUGCAAGUCGAACGGGCGUAGCAAUACGUCAGUGGCAGACGGGUGAGUAACACGUGGGAACGUACCCUUUGGUUCGGAACAACACAGGGAAACUUGUGCUAAAUACCGGAUAAGCCCUUACGGGGAAAGAUUUAUCGCCGAAGGAUCGGCCCGCGUCUGAUUAGCUUGUUGGUGAGGUAAUGGCUCACCAAGGCGACGAUCAGUAGCUGGUCUGAGAGGAUGAUCAGCCACACUGGGACUGAGACACGGCCCAGACUCCUACGGGAGGCAGCAGUGGGGAAUAUUGGACAAUGGGCGCAAGCCUGAUCCAGCCAUGCCGCGUGAGUGAUGAAGGCCCUAGGGUUGUAAAGCUCUUUUGGCGGGGAAGAUAAUGACGGUACCCGCAGAAUAAGCCCCGGCUAACUUCGUG
rnacentral:rRNA from 1 species